GUAGCCACGGUAAUACGUAGGGUGCGAGCGUUAAUCGGAAUUACUGGGCGUAAAGCGUGCGCAGGCGGUUCGUUAAGACAGAUGUGAAAUCCCCGGGCUUAACCUGGGAACUGCAUUUGUGACUGGCGAGCUAGAGUAUGGCAGAGGGGGGUAGAAUUCCACGUGUAGCAGUGAAAUGCGUAGAGAUGUGGAGGAAUACCGAUGGCGAAGGCAGCCCCCUGGGCCAAUACUGACGCUCAUGCACGAAAGCGUGGGGAGCAAACAGGAUUAGAUACCCGCGUAGUCCCUGUCUCUUAUACAC
rnacentral:rRNA from 1 species